AUUGAACGCUGGCGGCAGGCCUAACACAUGCAAGUCGAGCGGAUGAAGGGAGCUUGCUCCUGGAUUCAGCGGCGGACGGGCGAGUAAUGCCUAGGAAUCUGCCUGGUAGUGGGGGAUAACGUCCGGAAACGGGCGCUAAUACCGCAUACGUCCUGAGGGAGAAAGUGGGGGAUCUUCGGACCUCACGCUAUCAGAUGAGCCUAGGUCGGAUUAGCUAGUUGGUGGGGUAAAGGCCUACCAAGGCGACGAUCCGUAACUGGUCUGAGAGGAUGAUCAGUCACACUGGAACUGAGACACGGUCCAGACUCCUACGGGAGGCAGCAGUGGGGAAUAUUGGACAAUGGGCGAAAGUCUGAUCCAGCCAUGCCGCGUGUGUGAAGAAGGUCUUCGGAUUGUAAAGCACUUUAAGUUGGGAGGAAGGGCAGUAAGUUAAUACCUUGCUGUUUUGACGUUACCAACAGAAUAAGCACCGGCUAACUUCGUG
rnacentral:rRNA from 1 species